UUAACCCUUUUUUUUUCGGCACUAAACAAAACAAAAGCAUGCUUCGUUGUGUUCAACAAUAUCGAUCGCAUGAAGAAAUCUAAAGAUUACCCGAUUAAACUUACAAAGCUCUUAGAUAAUGAGUGAAUCUAAUAGGACCAAACAUAACAAUGCAAACCCAACUACACUCUUUGUUGAACUAAAACCCAUGAUAAACCACUGAUCAAACCAUCCACUGUGACAAAACGUUCACAAUCCCUCACUACUUAUAUACCAAAGUUACUAUUCUACAAUAAGAUAUGACAUACUUUUUGAAUGCUGAUGAUGAUGAUGUUCUAUAUUUGACAACCAAACUCUGAGACUAUAUACUAUGAAGUAAACAUCCUGACUCAGGUGAAGAAGUGUAUUGCAACCGCGCUCAAAAUAGGAACAACUAAACUACCCGCAUAAUUCUUAACUUACAAAGAAUAUAUUGACACUAAAUGAGGUCCUAGCCUACUUUAUAUGGUCUAACACUUUAUCAACAACAGUUUACUUGAUCUACAUUAAUUGUUUUCUAAAUUUAUUGUUAUGUCUGACCGCUACCCUUUCAUCACAAAAUAUUUUUUUAUUAUUUUUUCUUUCAAAUGAGAUUAAUGUUAUAUUUUCUUUUCUUUAUUAACUGUAACUCAUUGUAUUUGUUUAGAGAAAUGUCUGAUAACAUAUUCUGCUACUAAUUGGCUCUCUGGAAUUUCAUAAUUAGACAUUUGGGCUUUUCCGGUUACUCUAAGUUAGAAUGAUAGCAUAGAUAGUGUUACAGUUCUAUCCCAACUCCUAUGAUCAAUGUUGUAUAAUAUAUCUACUCUUUCAGACAUUCAAGUAUAAUAAUUUAAGAGCCUAGUUUUUAAGCACCUAGUCGAUGACAAGCAAAGAUCCGAUCCAGAAGCACAAUCAACCACAUCAACAAACCAAAGAACCCGCACAACAAAACUCAUACAACCAAUACCAAACUGAACCAACCCAGCCAAAAGGAU